AUUGAACGCUGGCGGCAUGCCUUACACAUGCAAGUCGAACGGCAGCAUGGAAGAGCUUGCUCUUCUGAUGGCGAGUGGCGAACGGGUGAGUAAAGCAUCGGAACGUACCGUGUAGUGGGGGAUAACGUAGCGAUAGUUACGCUAAUACCGCAUACGCACUGAGGUGGAAAGCAGGGGAUCGCAAGACCUUGCGCUAUACGAGCGGCCGAUGUCAGAUUAGCUAGUUGGUAGGGUAAAGGCCUACCAAGGCGACGAUCUGUAGCGGGUCUGAGAGGAUGAUCCGCCACACUGGGACUGAGACACGGCCCAGACUCCUACGGGAGGCAGCAGUGGGGAAUUUUGGACAAUGGGGGAAACCCUGAUCCAGCCAUGCCGCGUGAGUGAAGAAGGCCUUCGGGUUGUAAAGCUCUUUCGGCUGGGAAGAAAUCGCACAGGCUAAUACUCUGUGUGGAUGACGGUACCAGCAUAAGAAGCACCGGCUAACUACGUGCCAGCAGCCGCAGUAA
rnacentral:rRNA from 1 species